CUUUUCCAGGCAGGAUCAAGAGUUAUAUUUGUGUCUAAAGUGUAGGAUAUAAUGAUGCCUUGAACCUAAUUGUCCUGCCCAACUACAUGCAUUUAUAUACACACAUUUAAUGGAUAUAAUAUCUUAUUUACCAGUUUUUAAUGAGCUCAUUUCUACUCAGCUUCAGUCCUUGAAAGGGUGAUAUAUGGAGACAACAGAAUCAGUAUUUCUUCUACUAAAGAAACACAGGAAUGUCUCUGUUGCUUCAUUACUUCUACGUUUGCAUUUCUGGAUUACUCUGUGGAGAAACCAGGCCACGGUGUGCUUCUUCAUUGAUGAGAUUCACAAGAACUUCAUGUCCCAAAAAAUUUUUAAUGGAUCUUCUACUUGGAUCAGAAGCCUUGUCAUCAAACUGUUCCAUCAUUCCAUCAAAAAGUCUUCUGUCAUUACUGAAAAGCAUGUUCAAAGUUGA
rnacentral:lncRNA from 1 species